GGAAAGCAGAAAGUUUCUUUAUAGCUCUUGACGCUGAAGUCUCCAAGCGGACUUGGGUCAAUACAGGCAAGCAUACUCCAAUACCUUAUAACCCAUGAUGAGCAAGUAGGCGUCUGUAUGAUCUCCAAAAAUAUGCUUUGAUUUUAUCUAACUUUCAUGAUCAGUUUUCAAGGAUUCUUACCGACCUUUUGUGUGUUAUAAAGUUCACAUAACGGAGGAAACAAAUUGACAGAGAACAUUGCUGGAAGCCUACUUAAGAAAUUAUUGUGCAGGUGUGGCUCGGUUCAAUUUGUUGAAGAGUGCGGCACGUUUAGUCUGCACAUUUAUUUAUUGGGCCGAGUCAUAUGGGCCAAACUAAAUCAGAAUAAGUCUCAGACCGUGGGCUUCAAACAGAGUCAAUACCUGACCCAUACGUAUUAGCAGCCCGCUCGGCCCAAGUUGUUGAAGAGAGUGCGGUGACCGCGGUUAUUGUAAGAUCUCGGUCUUCCAACCCUUUUUGGGCGAUUUUAAUUUUUCCGGAGGCCCUUCAGCCUCAAACGGCGUGCGGUAACCUACGGGUGCGGUAUAUAUAUAUAUAUCUCCAAUCCCUCCGCUUAUUUUGCUACUUUGCCGGUGGUUUCUUGGAUUGAAGGGUUAAGCAAGAGGGCGGUGAUAACAAUAACUGUCACUCGUCCUCCUCCCUCUCCUCUCCCACCUCUCCUCCACUGCCGUCUCCACCUCAUCGGCCUCCUGCCACGGCACAGGCAGAGUAUCAAACCCUCUCCCUCUCUCUCUCUCUCUCUCUAAGAGCUUGUGAGUUCGAUGAUCUUCCCGUUUUACCCUCUUCCAGGUUGCUGGUGCCGGUGAUUAAUGAUGGAAAUCUGACGUGGGGCGGCAAUGGGAAGACGCCCAUGAAGCCGGAAUUCCGCCUCUCAUCGUCGCCAGGGACGGGUUCUUUCGCGGACGAUCCUUGUCAGGGGCCAGUUAGCUGAAGCAUCUGAGUUGUAUCUAUCUACUAUCUAGGGUUACAGUGUAUUGUUGUUUACCACGCUAGGGGCACUGGUUUUGGAUAGAAACUCAAUUGUUUGACACAGUAAUGAUGUGCGCUUGAUGAACCAGGGGACGAUUGAUUGUUGGGAGCAUCUUGAAAUGUCUUCAGUCGUUGCCCUAUUCAGUUUUCACUUCCUUCAUGAUCAAGUAAUGAAGCCUUGCCUACCAUAGAGCUAAAAUGGUGGGAAAAGACCGUAGCACUGCAUGCCAUGGCUUAGUAUUUUCGUAAGACAAGUGGUAUCUUGUUCUUGUACUAUAAAAAUAUAAUUUCUUUGAUAUCUUUGUUGAAA